GACCCCGUGGUGAAAAUGUAUCAUGCCCACUCCUAAUACCAUCCAUCUUUCACUGCAAGUAGAAGUGGGAGUCCCUUGUUCGAGUCAAGGCCGGGUCA